rnacentral:rRNA from 1 species
CCUACGGGUGGCAGCAGUAGGGAAUCUUCCACAAUGGGCGAAAGCCUGAUGGAGUAACGCCGCGUGGGUGAAUAAGGUCUUCGGAUCGUAAAACCCUUUUGUUAGAGAAGAAAGUGCGUGAGAGUAACUGUUCACGUUUCGACGGUAUCUAACCAGAAAGCCACGGCUAACUACGUGCCAGCAGCCGCGUUAAUACGUAGGUGGCAAGCGUUAUCCGGAUUUAUUGUGCGUAAAGGGAACGCAGGCGGUCUUUUAAGUCUGAUGUGAAAGCCUUCGGCUUAACCGGAGUAGUGCAUUGGAAACUGGGAGACGUGAGUGCCGAAGAGGAGAGUGGAACUCCAUGUGUAGCGGUGAAAUGCGUAGAUAUAUGGAAGAACACCAGUGGCGAAAGCGGCUCUCUGGUCUGUAACUGACGCUGAGGUUCGAAAGCGUGGGUAGCAAACAGGAUUAGAUACCCUAGUAGUC